GGCAGAGGAAACAGUUGAACAGGAUCUGUAAUGUAGGUGGUGGUUUAAUAUAGUAGGCUAGAGGCAUAGUUGAUGAUAACUGACUGUUGGAAUAGUUGAAAAGUUAAAUAGCUGGAUAGUUUAAAUGGUCAAAUUAUUUAAUAGGGAAUUAUUGUAGUGGAGACUUUUAUUUUGAAACAGUUGUGGGCAGAGGAAGCAGUUAAACAGGAUCUGUAGUCUUGAUAGA